rnacentral:lncRNA from 1 species
AGGGUUUCCCCAGACGGCUUCUGCGGGUUGCGCAGACGCAAAACUCCCCCUUCGUCGUGUCAGCCGUGCCGCCAACGGUGGCUGCCUGGCUGCUGCCCUCCCUCCCCGGAGCGACGGCGCUGCCCUUGCAGCCCCUGCAGGUACCCACCCUCCCCUCCGCGCUGCCCCAGGCCACCGUCUGGCACGUGGUGCCGGGGGUCCAGGGGCAGGUGCUGCAGCUCCCCGCCGGGGUGCAGCUGCCACCUGGGGGGCACCUCCCAGCCCAGGGGCACCACCUGCAGCUUGGGCAGCUCCCCGCCGUGGGGCAGCUCCCUGCUGGGGGGCAGCUCCCCGCUGUGGGGCAAAACCUGCAGCUGGUGCAGCUCCCAACCAUGGGGCACCAGCUGCAGCUGGUGCAGCUCCCCGCCGUGGGGCAGCUCCCCCACACCGCUCCUCCCUGUGCCCCCGUCCAUCAGUGGGGACAGCCCAUGGUGACGGGGACACUGGUGCCCCACCAUGCGCUGGGGCUGGGGCCCAGGGCCGUGCUCCAUGGGGAGCUCCUGCACCCCGCAGGCACCUGCCUGUUGCAGGCCCCCGCCCAGCGCAACCCCCCGCCACCCCUCGUCCCGGGGCCUCCGCUGCGGGGGCAGGCGCUCCCCACGCCCCGCACCCUGAGCAGCAGCCGGGGGCAGCUGCCGGAGCCCUGCUUGCACGCCGUGGGGCUCAGCGAGGACCAGGGGCCCCCGCUGCCCGGCCCCACUCCCCCCGAGCCUGCCCAGGCUCCAAGGACCGCCAGCACCCAGACGGCGACGCCCGACGCGGCGACAGCCCCGCAGGUGCCUGAGGAGCCCCCGCAGCUGCCCGAGCUGGGCCCCGAUGCCUUGGCCGAGGCCUUUCCAGAGCUGGCAGGGGACAGCCAGCAGCUGCAGCACGUGCAGGACGAGCUCCUGGCCCACCUGGACAUCCCCAUCCCCGACAUGGAGGAGCUGCUCAGCUGGCUCGAUGCCGUGGAGCCCCAGGACGCCUUCCCCGAUUUGCCCAGCAGUCCUGCCCUCAGCCGCUUCCUCUCCCAGCUGCCCGACCUCUGCGAGGACAUCGAGGAGCCGAGCACGCAGGGACUGGAAGCCACAGGAGCCCUCGGUGAGGUCCCCUCAAGCCCUGGGGUGCGCCCCGAGAAGCUUGAGGGUGGGCUGUCGCUGCAGUCCCCCGUCGUGCCAGCAGUGAGCCCCCCCCUCAGCCCUGCAGCCAGUCCCCUGCCCAGUGCGCUUAGGAGCCCCCUACCCAGUCCACCCCUGAGUCCCCCCAGGAGCCUCCCUGACACCCAGGUCCUCAGUGCCCUUAGUAGAGCCCUGCCCCAACCCCCCCAGCGUUCCCUCAAGACCCGCCCCAACCCCAAGGUCCCCAGUGCCCUUAGUAGAGCCCAGCCCAAAUCCCCCCCGAGUUCCCCCAAGAAACGCCCCAACCCCAAGGGCCGCAGUGACCAUAGGAGACCCCUGCCCAAACGCCCCCUGGGUCCCCUCAAGAGCCCCCUGGCUGCCCCUGCGUCCACCGGCACCGAGCGGGGGGCCAAGCGCCCCGCGCCCAGCAGCACCCCCGGGACAGCGCAGAGCUGCCAGCACAGGAGGCCGACGACAGAGAACCCCCCCCGCAAGGAGAGGAAGAUGCUGCUGGGCCAGGCUGGCCAAGGCCGCAAGAGACCGUGCCAGGGGAAGACGCGUGGCAGCAGCACGGUGGCUGGCAGCAGCAGGGAAGCAGGCAGCAGCGGGCAGCAGCUGGCGAUCAACAGCACCACGGCACCGGCCAGCGGGGCCAAGACGCUGGAGGAGUCGGUGCCCAUCACGCCGCAGCAGCGUCCCGAGCGGGAGCGCCUGAAGAAGCUGGCCCAGGAGGAGCGGCAGCGGGCGGCCCACCAGAUGAAGAUCGGCCCCGUGCAAUUCUUCGUGCAGCGGCAGAAGGACCACGCCAGAGCCUACUCUUACGGCUACCCGUGACCGACCUCGGGCUUCUCCUCGACGGCCCCCGCAGCACCCAGGCAGGCACAGAGACCUCUGCAGGCACCUGCUCCAGCUUCAGCCACGCUCCUCAGCCCUUGCCCCUCUCGCUUGCCCUCUCCCCUCUCUCGUGCUGGAGCUAGGGGAUGAGCUUGCCACUCUCAGGGAUGGGCAACGGGGGCAAUGGAAAAUGCGUGGCUCACCGAGGAAGGUGGCAAUGGGAAGCUGGGGAGAUGCUGGCAGCGGCUGGGCUGGGAAAGCUUGCCCAUGGCAACUGCUGCUUGGGACACCAAAGGGCUGAGAGACAAGACUUGGUUCUUCUUUCAGGGCAUUGCUCUUCUUUCCUGCCUUCUGGAUUAAAUUCCUCUCCUUACGUGGUCACUCAGCAAGGCCUCUGCCUGCAGCUCUUCUUGCACUGGGAUGCCAAGGGGAUUUCAUGCAGCCCGCUCCCGCUGCCCAUGCUCAGGCCGUGCAUGGAUGUGGGCAUGGCCAGCACGGACGGCAGAAGAUGGAUGGAUGGAUGGAUGGAUGGAUGGAUGGAUGGAUGGAUGGAUGGAUGGAUGGAAGAAUGGGAGUUGGGAAUUGAGCCUUGGGAGCAGCAAUGGGAGGUGGCUGGGAUAGGAAAUGAUCAGUGGGAUGGGAAGUGAUGAUGGGGAUAGGAAUUCAUUGUUAUGGGAAAAAUGGGUUUUAUUUUUAUUAAAUUUAAAUUUGUUAAUUUUCAUUUAAUUUGUUGGUUUUAUUAUUUAUUUCAUUAAAUC